rnacentral:rRNA from 1 species
AAUCCAUAGGUUAAUGAGGCGAACCGGGGGAACUGAAACAUCUAAGUACCCCGAGGAAAAGAAAUCAACCGAGAUUCCCCCAGUAGCGGCGAGCGAACGGGGAGGAGCCCAGAGCCUGAAUCAGCAUGUGUGUUAGUGGAAGCGUCUGGAAAGUCGCGCGAUACAGGGUGACAGCCCCGUACACAAAAGCGCAUGUGUUGUGAGCUCGAUGAGUAGGGCGGGACACGUGGUAUCCUGUCUGAAUAUGGGGGGACCAUCCUCCAAGGCUAAAUACUCCUGACUGACCGAUAGUGAACCAGUACCGUGAGGGAAAGGCGAAAAGAACCCCGGCGAGGGGAGUGAAAAAGAACCUGAAACCGUGUACGUACAAGCAGUGGGAGCACCCUUCGGGGUGUGACUGCGUACCUUUUGUAUAAUGGGUCAGCGACUUAUAUUCUGUAGCAAGGUUAACCGAAUAGGGGAGCCGGAGGGAAACCGAGUCUUAAUUGGGCGUUAAGUUGCAGGGUAUAGACCCGAAACCCGGUGAUCUAGCCAUGGGCAGGUUGAAGGUUGGGUAACACUAACUGGAGGACCGAACCGACUAAUGUUGAAAAAUUAGCGGAUGACCUGUGGCUGGGGGUGAAAGGCCAAUCAAACCGGGAGAUAGCUGGUUCUCCCCGAAAGCUAUUUAGGUAGCGCCUCGUGAAUUCAUCUCCGGGGGUAGAGCACUGUUUCGGCUAGGGGGCCAUCCCGGCUUACCAACCCGAUGCAAACUGCGAAUACCGGAGAAUGUUAUCACGGGAGACACACGGCGGGUGCUAACGUCCGUCGUGAAGAGGGAAACAACCCAGACCGCCAGCUAAGGUCCCAAAGUCAUGGUUAAGUGGGAAACGAUGUGGGAAGGCCCAGACAGCCAGGAUGUUGGCUUAGAAGCAGCCAUCAUUUAAAGAAAGCGUAAUAGCUCACUGGUCGAGUCGGCCUGCGCGGAAGAUGUAACGGGGCUAAACCAUGCACCGAAGCUGCGGCAGCGACACUGUGUGUUGUUGGGUAGGGGAGCGUUCUGUAAGCCUGUGAAGGUGUGUCGUGAGGCAUGCUGGAGGUAUCAGAAGUGCGAAUGCUGACAUAAGUAACGAUAAAGCGGGUGAAAAGCCCGCUCGCCGGAAGACCAAGGGUUCCUGUCCAACGUUAAUCGGGGCAGGGUGAGUCGACCCCUAAGGCGAGGCCGAAAGGCGUAGUCGAUGGGAAACGGGUUAAUAUUCCCGUACUUGGUGUUACUGCGAAGGGGGGACGGAGAAGGCUAUGUUGGCCGGGCGACGGUUGUCCCGGUUUAAGCGUGUAGGUGUGUGUUCCAGGUAAAUCCGGUUCACUUUAACACUGAGGCGUGACGACGAGGCACUACGGUGCUGAAGCAACAAAUGCCCUGCUUCCAGGAAAAGCCUCUAAGCAUCAGGUAACAUCAAAUCGUACCCCAAACCGACACAGGUGGUCAGGUAGAGAAUACCAAGGCGCUUGAGAGAACUCGGGUGAAGGAACUAGGCAAAAUGGUGCCGUAACUUCGGGAGAAGGCACGCUGACACGUAGGUGAAGUGAUUUACUCAUGGAGCUGAAGUCAGUCGAAGAUACCAGCUGGCUGCAACUGUUUAUUAAAAACACAGCACUGUGCAAACACGAAAGUGGACGUAUACGGUGUGACGCCUGCCCGGUGCCGGAAGGUUAAUUGAUGGGGUCAGCGCAAGCGAAGCUCCUGAUCGAAGCCCCGGUAAACGGCGGCCGUAACUAUAACGGUCCUAAGGUAGCGAAAUUCCUUGUCGGGUAAGUUCCGACCUGCACGAAUGGCGUAAUGAUGGCCAGGCUGUCUCCACCCGAGACUCAGUGAAAUUGAACUCGCUGUGAAGAUGCAGUGUACCCGCGGCAAGACGGAAAGACCCCGUGAACCUUUACUAUAGCUUGACACUGAACAUUGAGCCUUGAUGUGUAGGAUAGGUGGGAGGCUUUGAAGCGUGGACGCCAGUCUGCGUGGAGCCGACCUUGAAAUACCACCCUUUAAUGUUUGAUGUUCUAACGUGGACCCGU